CAUAUCAAUAAGCGGAGGAAAAGAAACCAACAGGGAUUGCCCUAGUAACGGCGAGUGAAGCGGCAACAGCUCAAAUUUGAAAUCUGGCUUCGGCCCGAGUUGUAAUUUGCAGAGGAUGCUUCUGGCGCGGUGCCUUCCGAGUUCCCUGGAACGGGACGCCAUAGAGGGUGAGAGCCCCGUAUGGUUGGAUACCUAGCCUGUGUGAAGCUCCUUCGACGAGUCGAGUAGUUUGGGAAUGCUGCUCAAAAUGGGAGGUAUAUCUCUUCUAAAGCUAAAUACCGGCCAGAGACCGAUAGCGCACAAGUAGAGUGAUCGAAAGAUGAAAAGCACCUUGAAAAGGGGGUUAAACAGCACGUGAAAUUGUUGAAAGGGAAGCGCCUAUGACCAGACUUGUGCCCGGCGGAUCACCCAGCGUUCUCGCUGGGGCACUCCGCCGGGUCCAGGCCAGCAUCGGUUUUCGCCGGGGGAUAAAGGCUCUGGGAACGUAGCUCCUCUGGGAGUGUUAUAGCCCUCUGCGUAAUACCCUGGCGGGGACCGAGGUACGCGCUCCGCAAGGAUGCUGGCGUAAUGGUCAUCAGCGACCCGUCUUGAAACACGGAUCAAGGAGUCGUCCAUUAGAGCGAGCGUUUGGGUGUCAAACCCGCACGCGUAAUGAAAGUGAACGUAGGUGAGAGCUUCGGCGCAUCAUCGACCGAUCCUGAUGUCCUCGGAUGGAUUUGAGUAUGAGUUUUACUGGACGGACCCGAAAGAUGGUGAACUAUGCCUGUAUAGGGUGAAGCCAGAGGAAACUCUGGUGGAGGCUCGCAGCGGUUCUGACGUGCAAAUCGAUCGUCAAAUAUGGGC
rnacentral:rRNA from 1 species